rnacentral:rRNA from 1 species
UGGGGAAUAUUGGACAAUGGGGGAAACCCUGAUCCAGCAAUGCCGCGUGUGUGAAGAAGGCCUUCGGGUUGUAAAGCACUUUCAGUAGCGAAGAAGAUCAUUGGGUGAAUACCCCGAUGGUUUGACGUUAACUACAGAAGAAGCACCGGCUAACUCUGUGCCAGCAGCCGCGGUAAGACAGAGGGUGCGAGCGUUAAUCGGAAUUACUGGGCGUAAAGCGUACGUAGGCGGAUGCCUCAGUCAGAUGUGAAAUCCCCGAGCUCAACUUGGGAACUGCAUUUGAUACUGGGCAUCUAGAGUAUGGUAGAGGAGAGUGGAAUUUCCGGUGUAGCGGUGAAAUGCGUAGAUAUCGGAAGGAACAUCAGUGGCGAAGGCGGCUCUCUGGGCCAAUACUGACGCUGAGGUACGAAAGCGUGGGUAGCAAACAGG